rnacentral:rRNA from 1 species
GAUUAUGGCUCAGGACGAACGCUGGCGGCGUGCCUAACACAUGCAAGUCGAGCGAGGAGAUUCCUCGGGAUGAUCCUAGCGGCGGACGGGUGAGUAACACGUGGGCAACCUGCCUCAUAGAGAGGAAUAGCCUUCCGAAAGGGAGAUUAAUACCUCAUAACAUUGCAGUUUCGCAUGGAACAGCAAUUAAAGGAGUAAUCCGCUAUGAGAUGGGCCCGCGGCGCAUUAGCUAGUUGGUGAGGUAACGGCUCACCAAGGCGACGAUGCGUAGCCGACCUGAGAGGGUGAUCGGCCACAUUGGGACUGAGACACGGCCCAGACUCCUACGGGAGGCAGCAGUGGGAAUAUUGCACAAUGGGGGAAACCCUGAUGCAGCCAACGCCGCGUGAGUGAUGACGGCCUUCGGGUUGUAAAGCUCUGUCUUCAGGGACGAUAAUGACGGUACCUGAGGAGGAAGCCACGGCUAACUACGUGCCAGCAGCAGC